UCUUCUUUAUCAGAAAAAAAAUUCUAUAUAAAUCUACAAAAGAUGAAAUAUGAAAUAACACAAAAAUAUACUACAUCACUUCCUCGUGAGUGAAGUAGAUUCGUAUCAAAACACCACUUCUCUUUACAUUUUUUCCUCUUCCAUAUAAUACUAAACCAAAACAAAACCAAAAAAAUAUAUUAAUAUAAACUCAACUCAUUUUCUAUUGGUCAAAACACAUGUGUAUGGAUUACUAUCUUGACCAUUGAUAUUUCUAAUCCAAGGGUCCUAAAUGAAUCUUUUGUGUUUCUUUCUUCUGUCGAGUCUCUCUCUCUCUCUCUCUCUCAAUUCUCUCUGUAUCUCACCAUCUUCAAUCUCAGUUUCUCUCUGUACACAAUCAACAAUAAUCAUCGCCUCUGAUUUUGGUGUUAACAGAUCCGACGCAUCUAAACUCAUGUCGUCAUUCAACAAAACUGCUUCAACUUCAAACCCAUCUCCAAACUCCAUUCCUUAAAACUGGGUUUCAUGGACGCUUCCUCUCUUCCCCUUCUCCGUGACCUAUUCCCCUUCUCUGGGACGAAGUACUUUCUCCUCUUCCUGUCGACGAAUUCCAGAUGGAGCAAACUCCUAAAGCUCACACGAGAGAGACAGACUUGGAGAUGGAGCAAGAAACGAGACGCAUGAAGAAGCUGUAGAGGCAGAUGACCAGAUCUGGCGGAGAGCAGGACGAUGGAGGACGUGGCUAACGGCAUGACUGAAGCGUUGAGGAUGGAGGAGUUUGUGAUAGAGGCGGCUGGAGUAAGCAAACAGAGGAAUUAGGGUUUUCUUAGGUUUAUUUUUUUCUGUUUAUUUUUUUGUACAUUUAUUCCAAAUCUGAAUUAUUUUUCUAUGUAAAACUUUUUUAUUGUAUGAAUCAUUGAUAAUUAAAUUUUAAUUUAUAAA